GGGGAAUUUUCCGCAAUGGGCGAAAGCCUGACGGAGCAAUACCGCGUGAGGGAAGAAUGCCUGUGGGUUGUAAACCUCUUUUAUUAGGGAAGAAAUAUGACGGUACCUAAUGAAUAAGCAUCGGCUAACUCCGUGCCAGCAGCCGCGGUAAUACGGGGGAUGCAAGCGUUAUCCGGAAUCACUGGGCGUAAAGCGUCUGUAGGUGGUUUAUUAAGUCUGUUGUUAAAUAUUAGGGCUUAACCCUAAGCAAGCAGUGGAAACUACUAGACUAGAGUAUGGUAUAGGUAGAGGGAAUUCUCAGUGUAGCGGUGAAAUGCGUAGAUAUUGGGAAGAACACCAGAAGCGAAAGCGCUCUACUGGGCCAUUGCUGACACUCAGAGACGAAAGCUAGGGGAGCG
rnacentral:rRNA from 1 species